AAAACGACACUGGUAUUGCCCUGAGUACGGCGAGUGAAGCGGCGCACCUCAAAUUUGAAAUCUGGCGCGAGCCCAAGUUGUAAUUUGUAGAGGAUGUUUCUGGCGACGUGCCUUCCGGGUUCCCUGGAACGGGACGCCAUAAAGGGUGAGAGCCCCGUACGGUUGGAUGCCUAGCCUCUGUGAAACUCCUUCGGCGAGUCGAGUAGUUUGGGAAUGCUGCUCUAAAUGGGAGGUAUACGUCUUCUAAAGCUAAAUACCGGCCAGAGACCGAUAGCGCACAAGUAGAGUGAUCGAAAGAUGAAAAGCACUUUGAAAAGAGGGUUAAAAAGUACGUGAAAUUGUUGAAAGGGAAGCGUUCAUGACCAGACUUGGGCAGGUUGAUCAUCCGUGGUUCUCCGCGGUGCACUCUGCCUGCCCAGGCCAGCAUCAGUUCGCCCCGGGGGAUAAAGGUUUUGGGAAUGUGGCUCCCUCGGGAGUGUUAUAGCCCACUGCGUAAUACCCUGGGGUGGACUGAGGUUCGCGCUCUGCAAGGAUGCUGGCGUAAUGGUCAUCAACGACCCGUCUUGAAACACGGACCAAGGAGUCGUCUUCGUAUGCGAGUGUUCGGGUGUCAAACCCCUACGCGUAAUGAAAGUGAACGUAGGAGAGAGCUUCGGCGCAUCUCCGACCGAUCCUGAUGUUCUCGGAUGGAUUUGAGUAAGAGCAUACGGGGCCGGACCCGAAAGAAGGUGAACUAUGCCUGUAUAGGGUGAAGCCAGAGGAAACUCUGGUGGAGGCUCGCAGCGGUUCUGACGUGCAAAUCGAUCGUCAAAUAUGGGCAUGGGGGCGAAAGACUAAUCGAACCUUCUAGUAGCUGGUUUCCGCCGAAGUUUCCCUCAGGAUAGCAGUAUUGAACUCAGUUUUAUGAGGUAAAGCGAAUGAUUAGGGACCCGGGGGCGCUAUAUUGCCUUCAUCCAUUCUCAACUUUAAAUAUGUAAGAGCUCUUGUUGCUUAAUUGAACGUGAGCAUUCGAAUGUAUCAAUACUAGUGGGCCAUUUUGUAGCAGAACUGGCGAUGCGGAUGACCGACGCGAGG
rnacentral:rRNA from 1 species